UACGUAGGGACCAAGCGUUGUUCGGAUUUACUGGGCGUAAAGGGCGCGUAGGCGGCAAUUCAAGUCAUCUGUGAAAUCUCCGGGCUUAACUCGGAACGGUCAGAUGAUACUGCUUUGCUAGAGUGCGGAAGGGGCAAUCGGAAUUCUUGGUGUAGCGGUGAAAUGCGUAGAUAUCUGGAGGAACAUCGGUGGCGAAGGCGGCAUCCUGGACCGGUAUUGACGCUGAGGCGCGAAAGCCAGGGGAGCAAACGGG
rnacentral:rRNA from 1 species